rnacentral:rRNA from 1 species
GAUGAACGCUGGCGGCGUGCCUAAUACAUGCAAGUCGAGCGAACAGACGAGGAGCUUUCUCCUCUUACGUUAGCGGCGGACGGGUGAUUAACACGUGGAUAACCUACCUAUAAGACUGGGAUAACUUCGGGAAACCGGAUCUAAUACCGGAUAAUAUAUUGAACCGCAUGGUUCAAUAGUGAAAGACGGUUUUGCUGUCACUUAUAGAUGUAUCCGCGUCGCAUUAGCUAGUUGGUAGGGUAAAGGCUUACCAAGGCGACGAUGCGUAGCUGACCUGAGAGGGUGAUCAGCCACACUGGAACUGAGACACGGUCCAGACUCCUACGGGAGGCAGCAGUAGGGAAUAUUGGGCAAUGGGCGAAAGCUUGACGGAGCAACGCCGCGUGAGUGAAGAAGGUCUUCGGAUCGUAAAGCUCUGUUAUUAGGGAAGAACAAAAGUGUAAGUAAAUAUGCACGUCUUGACGGUACCUAAACAGAAAGCAACGGCUAACUACGUG